rnacentral:rRNA from 1 species
GACGAACGCUGGCGGCGUGCUUAACACAUGCAAGUCGAACGGAAAGGCCCUGCUUUUGUGGGGUGCUCGAGUGGCGAACGGGUGAGUAACACGUGAGUAACCUGCCCUUGACUUUGGGAUAACUUCAGGAAACUGGGGCUAAUACCGGAUAGGAGCUCCUGCUGCAUGGUGGGGGUUGGAAAGUUUCGGCGGUUGGGGAUGGACUCGCGGCUUAUCAGCUUGUUGGUGGGGUAGUGGCUUACCAAGGCUUUGACGGGUAGCCGGCCUGAGAGGGUGACCGGCCACAUUGGGACUGAGAUACGGCCCAGACUCCUGCGGGAGGCAGCAGUGGGGAAUAUUGCACAAUGGGCGGAAGCCUGAUGCAGCAACGCCGCGUGCGGGAUGACGGCCUUCGGGUUGUAAACCGCUUUCGCCUGUGACGAAGCGUGAGUGACGGUAAUGGGUAAAGAAGCACCGGCUACUACGUG